CGCGGGGUGGAGCAGUGGUCAGCUCGGUUGGCUCAUAACCAACAGGUCGCAGGUUCAAAUCCUGCCCCCGCAACCA
rnacentral:tRNA from 1 species